GCUGGGCAUGGUGGCGCAUGCCCGUAAUCCCAGCUACUCGGGAAGCUGAGGCAGGAGAAUCGUUCGAACCCGGGAGGCAGAGGUUGCAGUGAGCCGAAAUGGCGCCACUGCACUCCAGCCUGGGCGACAGAGUGAGAUCUUUUCUCAA
rnacentral:SRP_RNA from 2 species